rnacentral:rRNA from 1 species
CUGGCGGCGUGGAUAAGACAUGCAAGUCGUGCGACAGACCAGGAAUUGAUUACUUCGGUUUGAUUUUCCUGACGAUGAGCGGCGAACGGGUGCGUAACACGUGAGAAAUCUGCCCUUAAGUUCGGGAUAGCCCUACGAAAGUAGAAUUAAUACCGGAUGUGGCCCAGGGAGGGCAUCUUCCCCUGGCUAAAGCUCGGUUAUAGAGCGCUUUUGGAUGAUCUCGCGGUCUAUCAGCUUGUUGGUGAGGUAAUGGCUCACCAAGGCUAUGACGGAUAGCUGGUCUGAGAGGAUGAUCAGCCUCACUGGAACUGAGACACGGUCCAGACACCUACGGGUGGCAGCAGUCGAGAAUCAUUCACAAUGGGCGCAAGCCUGAUGGUGCGACGCCGCGUGGGGGAUGAAGGGCUUCGGUUCGUAAACCCCUGUCAUCUGUGAGUAAGACUCCCAAUAAAAGCUUGGGAGGUUGAUAUUAGCAGAAGAGGAAGGGACGGCUAACUCUGUGCCAGCAGCCGCGGUAAUACAGAGGUCCCAAGCGUUGUUCGGAUUUACUGGGCGUAAAGGGUGCGUAGGCGGCUAGAAAAGUUUGGUGUGAAAUCUUCGGGCUUAACCCGGAAACUGCACUGAAAACUAUCUGGCUAGAGGAUCGGAGAGGAGAUUGGAAUUCUCGGUGUAGCAGUGAAAUGCGUAGAUAUCGAGAGGAACACCAGUUGCGAAGGCGGAUCUCUGGACGGUUUCUGACGCUGAGGCACGAAAGCUGGGGUAGCGAAGAGGAUUAGAUACCCUCGUAGUCCCAGCCGUAAACGGUGCACACUUGCUGUGGGCGGAUUCGACCCCGUCCGUGGCGAAGCUAACGCGAUAAGUGUGCCGCCUGGGGAGUACGGUCGCA